rnacentral:rRNA from 1 species
UACAGAGGUCUCAAGCGUUGUUCGGAUUCAUUGGGCGUAAAGCGCGCGUAGGCGGAUCAUCAAGUCGGGGGUGAAAUCCCGGGGCUCAACCCCGGAACGGCCUUCGAGACUGGUGGUCUUGAGUUCGAGAGAGGUGGGUGGAAUUCCGAGUGUAGAGGUGAAAUUCGUAGAUAUUCGGAGGAACACCAGUGGCGAAGGCGGCCCACUGGCUCGACACUGACGCUGAGGCGCGAAAGCGUGGGGAGCAAACAGG